GGACCCGGACCCGGACCCGGACCCAGACCCUGACCCAGACCCGGACCCUCACCCCGACCCUGACCCGUAACCGUGAGUCAUGUCUGGACCGCGACUUCGACCCUCGCAGGGUCUGCAUGGCGCUCUUCCCAGAGGCUGGAACUGGAGGGGACUCGCUCGUUAGCCGGAUAACCAGUCCCUGAUGAGGGGUGCUCCCUGUGCCUCCCCCAGCUCGUACUGCCCGUCCCCCGCCCGCUGCCCCCGGGCAAGCAUCCCUCAUCCAGAAGCCCCUGAGCGAGAGAGCGCGCUGUCACGAUUCUCGCACCCUGGCAAGAGGACAUUCAUCCGUGCUGGACCCCGAGACGGGCCCUGUGCCCAGCAGGACGGGGAGGGGCCUCAGGAACUCUCCAGGGUUGGGAGAAACCAGACCUGCAGCCCCGGAAAUAGGAUCCCCUGUGGCUGCCAGCCCAUCAUCACACCUGCCAUGUCCCGCCCCCCCACGGCUUCGUCCCUUAAACGGGGGUUUCAUGAACAGCGUGUGUUGAGAACUGUCACCUGAUACUAUUGGUUUGAAGUUCA